rnacentral:rRNA from 1 species
UACGGGGGGAGCAAGCGUUGUUCGGAUUUACUGGGCGUAAAGGGCGCGUAGGCGGCCACGACAAGUCAGUUGUGAAAUCUCUGGGCUUAACUCAGAACGGUCAACUGAUACUGUCGGGCUAGAGUGCAGAAGAGGCAACUGGAAUUCUCGGUGUAGCGGUGAAAUGCGUAGAUAUCGAGAGGAACACCUGCGGCGAAGGCGGGUUGCUGGGCUGACACUGACGCUGAGGCGCGAAAGCUAGGGGAGCGAACGGG